ACCAAUUCUGAAGGAUAAACAAUUUCUUCAGGUAUAAUGGCUUGUGACGCUAUAUUUGUUGUGGUAUAUCCUGAUCAUCUUGCUAUCUUCCCUGACUUUUGAUCCUGGAAAUGCCUCGUAUAUUA